rnacentral:tRNA from 1 species
GGGGAUUUAGCUCAGCGGCAUAAGCACCUGCCUUGCAAGCAGGCGGUUGUGAGUUCAAUAGGCGGUUGGUUGUGAGUUCGAUCCCCG